rnacentral:rRNA from 1 species
AGAGUUUGAUCAUGGCUCAGGACGUACGCUGGCGGCGUGCCUAAUACAUGCAAGUCGAGCGGGCCGAACGAGAGCUUGCUCUUGUUUGGUCAGCGGCGGACGGGUGAGUAACACGUGGGCAACCUGCCCGCAAGACCGGGAUAACUCCGGGAAACCGGAGCUAAUACCGGAUAACACCAAAGACCGCAUGGUCUUUGGUUGAAAGGCGGCUUCGGCUGUCACUUGCGGAUGGGCCCGCGGCGCAUUAGCUAGUUGGUGAGGUAACGGCUCACCACAGGCAACGAUGCGUAGCCGGCCUGAGAGGGUGACCGGCCACACUGGGACUGAGACACGGCCCAGACUCCUACGGGAGGCAGCAGUAGGGAAUCUUCCGCUAAUGGACGAAAGUCUGACGGAGCGACGCCGCGUGAGCGAAAGAAGGCCUUCGGGUCGUAAAGCUCCUGUUGUG